rnacentral:rRNA from 1 species
UACGGGGGGGGCAAGCGUUGCUCGGAAUCACUGGGCGUAAAGGGCGCGUAGGCGGGGAGGUAAGUCGGGUGUGAAAUCCCUCGGCCCAACCGAGGAACUGCGCCCGAGACUGCUUCUCUUGAGUCCCGGAGAGGAAGAUGGAAUUCCCGGUGUAGCGGUGAAAUGUGUAGAGAUCCGGAGGAACACCAGUGGCGAAGGCGACACGCUGGGCCGUACCUGACACUGAUGCGCGACAGCAUGGGGAGCAAACAGG